rnacentral:rRNA from 1 species
ACUCUAGGGAGACUGCCGGUGAUAAACCGGAGGAAGGUGGGGACGACGUCAAGUCAGUAUGCCCCUUAUGCCCUGGGCUACACACGUGCUACAAUGGCGCGGACAAAGGGCAGCGAACGCGCGAGCGGGAGCCAAUCCCAAAAACCGCGUCUCAGUUCAGAUCGCAGGCUGCAA